GAAAUUGAUGCGAUAAUAAGGUUAAAGAGAGGUAUUAUCGCUCGCAUGGCCCAGUUGGAUCCCAAUCCAUUCUGGACUCAGCAAAAAGAGAGCUUGGUCGCUAACGGAAUCUUAAAUAAAGAUGCAGAGUUUACUAGGAAGACGCUGAUGGAAUACUUUACUAAAUUAGAAACCGAAGAAGGGAAAGAGUCUUGUAUUUAUCAAAAACUUCUCAAAACAAGAGAAAACUUCGCAAGAAAUGGUAAA
rnacentral:lncRNA from 1 species